rnacentral:rRNA from 1 species
UACAGAGGGUGCGAGCGUUGUCCGGAAUCACUGGGCGUAAAGGGCGCGUAGGUGGCGAUCCAAGUCCAUGGUGAAAGCUCGAUGCUCAACAUCGAGUCGGCCACGGAUACUGGGUUGCUUGAGCACUGUAGGGGCAGAUGGAAUUCCGGGUGUAGCGGUGGAAUGCGUAGAGAUCGGGAGGAACACCUGUGGCGAAGGCGGCCCCCUGGGCCGGCCCUGACACUGAGACGCGAAGGCGUGGGGAGCGAACGGG